rnacentral:rRNA from 1 species
CCUACGGGAGGCAGCAGUGGGGAAUUUUGGACAAUGGGCGAAAGCCUGAUCCAGCAAUGCCGCGUGAGUGAAGAAGGCCUUCGGGUUGUAAAGCUCUUUUGUCAGGGAAGAAACGGUGAGAGCUAAUAUCUCUUGCUAAUGACGGUACCUGAAGAAUAAGCACCGGCUAACUACGUGCCAGCAGCCGCGGUAAUACGUAGGGUGCAAGCGUUAAUCGGAAUUACUGGGCGUAAAGCGUGCGCAGGCGGUUUUGUAAGUCUGAUGUGAAAUCCCCGGGCUCAACCUGGGAAUUGCAUUGGAGACUGCAAGGCUAGAAUCUGGCAGAGGGGGGUAGAAUUCCACGUGUAGCAGUGAAAUGCGUAGAUAUGUGGAGGAACACCGAUGGCGAAGGCAGCCCCCUGGGUCAAGAUUGACGCUCAUGCACGAAAGCGUGGGGAGCAAACAGGAUUAGAUACCCUGGUAGUCCACGCCCUAAACGAUGUCUACUAGUUGUCGGGUCUUAAUUGACUUGGUAACGCAGCUAACGCGUGAAGUAGACCGCCUGGGGAGUACGGUCGCAAGAUUAAAACUCAAAGGAAUUGACGGCUGAGAGNGCGAGACGACACGAGGGAGGAG